CUCGCCCAGCCAGGCCGGCGCCGGAGCUGGGUCAGCGCAGUCAGUGAAAGCAGUGUACCGCCAUCUUUUUUGUGGGCAAAGAGUCCUUCGAGGUUUAUGUUUCCAAAGUAGGCUUCUCAGGAAGCCCAUAGAGAGACGUUCGAAAGAGAAUGGGCUCCUUGCACACUGAAAUACUGAGCCGAAUGGUUGGGGGUCGAAGUGGCAACCCAUGAAACCGAGAAUAAACGAGAGGCCUGCCCUGAGUAAAGUUGCAAAAGUUUCAGUCCAUGGACACUUGCUGCUGGAAGACAUGGGAGAGAGAGUCAAGCUACAGCAGUGGGACCAAACCUACAUUCAUCAUCUUCUGCCCUGUUUUACAAAGGAUUUGGGGAACGUUUGGAUCUGAUCUAGAAAAAUACUUUUCUGACCUCUGGUAGGUGAUGUGGGAUUGGGAAUAGGAGGCAGGGAGGGGAGAAGCUACUUCUAGUCCUGUCUAUAUAACUUAAGGCAUUCCCAUGGCAAGGGUUUCUUCUUCCUAUCAGUCCUCAGGACACUCUCCCUGCCCUUUUGUGUGACCCUUGUCCCAGGCUACCCCUUAUCUUCUUUUCUAGGCAGGAGGCUAGUUAAUCGCAGGUCUAUAAGAUCCCUCUUUGUCCCCUUCCAGGCCCAAAUUUUCAAAGUCCACCACACAUUUACUGAGCUAGCUAGGGAGGAAUUAGUGUAUCACAUAUGUUCAGAGCUGUGGCUACUUCCUCUCUGGGACAAUUUAGAUGGUGUAGACCAUAGGUGAGAGGAGAGGGGUGAAAGAGCUUGUCUCAGGCCACAGAGAUAGCAAAGGGGGCUGGCUUGAGCAUGGGCCUCCCUCUCUUCUCUAAUGGUCUUUCUGCAGGUUCACAUAGGUCAGCAAGUGCCAGCCGAAGUCAGUAGACAGAAAGGGGAAGCCAUGCAGAGAAGAAAGGAUUGAGAAGUGUGGAAUCCAGCAAAUAGAAGCAAGCAAGCAUUUCCAAGCAACAAACUGGUAGAAGGUUAGAGGAAUGGAUCUAGGAUCUCAUUUCCUCUCUUCUGAGGUUACAAGAAGAAAGUCACUCACCAAGGUCAAAGGAUGAGAUGCUUAGUCACAGAGUGAUUCUUCUGCUGGGUGUUGUGAGGGGUGGAAGCAGUGUGAGUUCUUCACUGAGACACUAAUAUUCUGUGCACUGAACUUGAACAUUUUAUACACAAUAUACAGACAUGAGUAUGUGCAGUGGAGUUGGGAAGUGUCUGCUCUUGGGUUAUAUUUAUUUGUGUCCACAUCUCAGCACUGAUGCCUCUUAGCUGCCGGAUUCAUUACUCAGAGGAAUGGAGCAAACAGGCAAACACUUAAUAUUGAUGCCUGACAGUCUUAGUCUUUCCCCAUAUUAUUUCAUCUCACUAUUUCACACUUAUGUGGUUUUGGAAUAGAACCUGGGCCUUAUACUUGCUAUGUUAAGUCUCUUCCACUGAGUAACACCCCAGCUCUAACUAAUUCAUUUUAACUUGGGAAGGACAAGAAUGCCUUCAGCUCCUGACCCAUCUUCUGACUUGAGCUGUGUAGCACCUGGGGCUAUUCAGCAGCAUGGGGUACUGCAAACUGGAGCCAGAUGGAUAGAGCUUAAACCUGGCCCUUUCCAUUGCAUCUUGGGUAACCUGGAGCAACUUGCCUAACCUCCCUGUGCCUCAGUAUUCGCCCCUGUGAGGUGGGGAGAACUUGGACCUUUGUCUUAGAGUUCUUAGGAGGACUGUGGUCCCUUGGAAGGAUGUGUCUGAUGUGGAACAAGUGUUCAGCAAAUGUGAGUUGUUCAAUGCCAUGUUCCUCUGUAAUGUUUUCUUCUGGCUAUAUGUCAUGGUUGCAUGUCCCUUCCCCAGCCUCCCCCACACUCCAGCUGUUGA